AACGAACGCUGGCGGCAUGCCUAACACAUGCAAGUCGAACGAUACCUUCGGGUCUAUUGGCUCAUGGGUUCGUAACGCGACGGAACCGUCCCGUGUGGUCAGCAUAACUUCCCGCAAGGGGUGCUAAUACCGGAUAAUGGCUUCUGCCCAAUGAUUUAUCGCCUUUGGAGUGGCCCACGUUGAAUUAGCUAUUUGGUAGGGUAAAAGUCUACCAAGGCUAUACUCCAUAGCUGGUCUGAGAGGAUGAUCAGUCACACUGGGACUGAGACACGGCCCAGACUCCUGCGGGAGGCAGCAGUGGGGAAUAAUGGACAAUGGGCGAAAGACUGAUCCAGCAAUGCCGUGUGGCUGAUGAAGGCCUUAGGGUUGUAAAGCUCUGUUAACAGGGAUCAUAAUGACAGUACCGGAAGAAUAAGCUCCGGCUAACUCCGUG
rnacentral:rRNA from 1 species